rnacentral:rRNA from 1 species
GUGCACCAGUCGCGAAACCUCCGCAAUACACGAAAGUGUGACGGGGCCAUCCCGAGUGCCGUCCGCCGAGGACGGCUUUUCCCCAGUGUACACAGCUGGGGGAAUAAGGAGAGGGCAAGCCUGGUGUCAGCCGCCGCGGUAAUACCAGCUCUCCGAGUGGUGGGGACGCUUAUUGGGCCUAAAGCAUCCGUAGCCGGCUGGGCAAGUCCUCCGUUAAAUCCAACGAUUCAAUCGUUGGGCUGCGGGGGAUACUGUCCAGCUUGGGGGCGGGAGAGGCCGACGGUAUUCCCGGGGUAGGGGUGAAAUCCUAUAAAUCCCGGGAGGACCACCAGUGGCGAAGGCUGUCGGCUAGAACGCGCCCGACGGUGAGGGAUGAAAGCUGGGGGAGCGAACCGGAUUAGAUACCCCCGUAGU